rnacentral:rRNA from 1 species
UACGUAGGGGGCAAGCGUUGUCCGGAAUCAUUGGGCGUAAAGAGCGUGUAGGCGGUCCGGUAAGUCGGCUGUGAAAGUCCAGGGCUCAACCCUGGGAUGCCGGUCGAUACUGCCGGACUAGAGUUCGGAAGAGGCGAGUGGAAUUCCCGGUGUAGCGGUGAAAUGCGCAGAUAUCAGGAGGAACACCGGUGGCGAAGGCGGAUCUCUGGGCCUUACCUGACGCUGAGGCACGAAAGCCAGGGGAGCAAACGGG